UGUGUAGGUGGCGCCGUAAGUCGGGUGUGAAAUUUCGGAGCUUAACUCCGAAACUGCAUUCGAUACUGCGGUGCUUGAGGACUGGAGAGGAGACUGGAAUUUACGGUGUAGCAGUGAAAUGCGUAGAUAUCGUAAGGAAGACCAGUGGCGAAGGCGGGUCUCUGGACAGUUCCUGACACUGAGACACGAAGGCCAGGGGAGCAAACG
rnacentral:rRNA from 1 species